AAAAGCUCCGGCGGUAUAGGAUGGUCCCGCGUCUGAUUAGCUGGUUGGCGGGGUAACGGCCCACCAAGGCGACGAUCAGUAGCCGGCUUGAGAGAGUGGACGGCCACAUUGGGACUGAGACACGGCCCAAACUCCUACGGGAGGCAGCAGUGGGGAAUAUUGCACAAUGGGGGAAACCCUGAUGCAGCGACGCCGCGUGAGUGAAGAAGUAUUUCGGUAUGUAAAGCUCUAUCAGCAGGGAAGAAAAAAGACGGUACCUGACUAAGAAGCCCCGGCUAACUACGUGCCAGCAGCCGCGGUAAUACGUAGGGGGCAAGCAUUAUCCGGAAUUACUGGGUGUAAAGGGUGCGUAGGUGGCAUGGUAAGUCAGAAGUGAAAGCCCGGGGCUUAACCCCGGGACUGCUUUUGAAACUGUCAUGCUGGAGUGCAGGAGAGGUAAGCGGAAUUCCUAGUGUAGCGGUGAAAUGCGUAGAUAUUAGGAGGAACACCAGUGGCGAAGGCGGCUUACUGGACUGUCACUGACACUGAUGCACGAAAGCGUGGGGAGCAAGCAGGAUUAGAUACCCUGGUAGUCCACGCCGUA
rnacentral:rRNA from 1 species